GGCCUUGAAGACACUGGGAGGGGGCAGGAACCUGGGAUCCCAUUUACUUUUGUCCUUCCAGGAGCAGCUUUGCUGAGCCUAUGUCUACAACAAUUUCUGGGGGGUGUGGUCACUACUGCCACAUUCACUGUGAUGAUGCACUGUAGCCAGCUGGCACCCAGAGCCCUGCAGGCCACACAUUAUAGCUUCCUGGCCACGCUAGAACUGCUGGGCAAGCUGCUCCCAGGCACCCUGGCUGGAGUGCUGGCUGAUGGCCUGGGCCCCCGUCUCUGCUUCGCUGCCUUCCUUGUACUCUCAGCCCUGCCCGUUCUGGAUCUCCGCCUGGCACCCAGUAACCUGACCUGAGCUGGACCUCAGGGUUGUGUGUAAAGCCAGUGAAGCUCUGGAUGGCCUGGACGGCCAGGACACAGAAACGCAGCUAUCCGCAAACCGAGGGCUGUGUUCCCAGAAAGCACAUAAAGUUACUGAAGGCUCUUU
rnacentral:lncRNA from 1 species